rnacentral:pre_miRNA from 1 species
UAAUAUCAGCUGGUAAUCCUGAGCUGGCGACGACACUCAGGGUGCUCACUGAUAUACGA